AAGUGAAAACAUAGGGAUGGCUGUAUAGAUUUAGGAAAGACAACCAUACAUUCCUUUAAUUGGUGUGGAUAAGUGAUUUCCCCCAAAAAUGGCAAUGGCAAGGCCAGAAAAAUACUGGGCAUCUGAGAAACUGGAUCCUCCAGAGAUUUUAGUUCACUGAGGGAUGGGAAGAGGUCUGUGGGGUGGUGGAAAUGGGGGUUAAGGUUUUUCCCAGAACUUCCAAACAGCCUGGGUCAGCUCAGAAAACGUUGGACUAAUGUUCAAUCUAGGUUUAGAGCUUUGCAUGGUUGAGUCCCACAGAAUGGGGCAAAAAGAGGAAGACAUUUCAGAAAAUGAGUAUGAAGUAACGAUCUACAGAAGUGAGAGGGGAAAGAAUGUGAAAAUUGGGUGUUCAUUAAUAGAAAGAAUGUGAAAACAGAACUUCUUACUUUUGAUAUUCUAUGGCAGUAAACUGUGAGAUGAUUACUGGAGUACAGGGAGUUUAUCUGAGAUAUGAACUCAGGAUGCACAGGAAUGAAAAUGAGGCAGUGAGACGGAAGAGGGGGCGCAAUAAAACUUUAUUAGUGGCCAGUUUAAAAGCCCCACCUCCCCUUUGGCCCACUUUUAAGCAACCUGAUUUAAAAAGUCUACAUGCUCCUUCCCUUUGCACAGCAGGAGAGCCAAACUCCCACCCCUAGCCAGUAGCAAGGCAGAAGGAGGCAGUCCAAGGCAAUGCUAGUUGGCAUUAUACUUUCACUUCCAGGAUAGCGCCAUCUCAAGGCAAGCAGUGAGAGUCGUCAGCACUCCACUCCCUGCAGCCCUCUCCAAAGACAGAUCAAGGUCACAAAACUUAAAAGAAGAGCGCUUCAAGGACAUUUGGAACAGGUAAAAUAGAGACCUAACAUUUGAAACAAUUAAAAUAGAGGCCUGACAUUUGGAACAAUUAAAAUAAAGACCUCACUCAGUUUUUCUGAGUUGCAAAAAGGGGGAAGGGAGUGGGAAUGAAAAUAUUUGAAGAAAUAAAGGCCAAACAUUUCCCAGAUUUGGCAGAAGCCAUACACCUGAAGACUUGAAAAACCGAACAAUCACGCAACAGGAUAAACAUAAAAAAAUUCCACACUAGGACACAUCAUAAUCACAUUUCUGAAAACUAAAGACACACAUUUUAAAAGCAGUUAGAGAGAAAUGACACAUUAGUAAAGAAGAAGAACAGUUCAAAUGGAAGCAGAUUUCUCAUUUAAAACCAGAGGCCACAGGGAAGUGCUGCAAUGUUUUUCAAGUUUUCCAAAAGAAAAGACUUGUCAACCAUGAAUCCUAUACCACACAAAAAUUUCCUUCAAGAAUUAAGAAAUAAAGAUAUUCUCAGAUAAAAGAAAACAAAGAAUAUUUGUCACAGGUAGACUUAUUCUAAAAAAAAUGGCUACAGGAAGUUCUCCACAUGCAAAGAAAAUGGUAGAAGGAGGCUUCAAGAUAGAAGAACAAUGGAAAGGGUAAGAAAUACAGGCAAAGAGACUAUUCUUGUCCUUUCAACAAAGUCUGACAUUAUGACAUAGGACUAGAGAUUUUAAAUAAAUAGGUUUGACAACAGAAGCAGAAAUUAUAACAUCAUUCAAUAUGGUGCUCAGCACAUGGAGAGUAAAUGCUCAAGACAAUUGUAUUAAAAGAAUAAUGGGGCCGGGCGCAGUGGCUCACGCCUGUAAUCCCAGCACUUUGGGAGGUUGAGGCGGGUGGAUCACGAGGUCAGGAGAUCAGGCCAACGUGAUGAAACCCCAUUUCUACUAAAAAUACAAAAAUUAGCUAGGCAUGGUGGCAAGCGCCUGUAGUCCCAGUUACUGAAAGGCUGAGGCAGGAGAAU
rnacentral:lncRNA from 1 species